UUACAGAUUUGAGGGGAUAAGGGUCGAAAAUAGUCCUAUAACCAGGCUUAUGCAGUGAGGUAAAGUGCAUUAACCUAUAUCAAGCUUU